rnacentral:rRNA from 1 species
UCGGGAAUUUUGGGCAAUGGGCGAAAGCCUGACCCAGCAACGCCGCGUGAAGGAUGAAGUAUUUCGGUAUGUAAACUUCGUAAGAAUAGGAAGAAUAAAUGACGGUACUAUUUGUAAGGUCCGGCUAACUACGUGCCAGCAGCCGCGGUAAUACAGAGGUCUCAAGCGUUGUUCGGAUUUACUGGGCGUAAAGGGUGCGUAGGCGGUGGCGUAAGUCGAGUGUGAAAUCUUCCGGCCUAACCGGAAAACUGCACUCGAUACUGCGUCACUAGAGGACUGUAGAGGAGACUGGAAUUCACGGUGUAGCAGUGAAAUUCGUAGAUAUUAGGAAGAACACCGGUGGCGAAGGCGGCUCACUGGCUCGAUACUGACGCUGAGGUGCGAAAGCGUGGGGAGCAAACAGGAUUAGAUACCCCAGUAGUCCCUGAGCGGGCUGGCAAGGCGCAU